GUGUACCUACGGGGGGCAGCAGUGGGGGAUAUUGCACAAUGGGGGAAACCCUGAUGCAGCGACGCCGCGUGUGGGAAGACGGUCCUCUGGAUUGUAAACCACUGUCCCCAGGGACGAAGAUGACGGUACUUGGGGAGGAAGCUCCGGCUAACUACGUGCCAGCAGCCGCGGUAAUACGUAGGUGGCGAGCGUUAUCCGGAAUGAUUGGGCGUAAAGGGUGCGCAGGCGGUCCUGCAAGUCUGGAGUGAAACGCAUGAGCUCAACUCAUGCAUGGCUUUGGAAACUGGAGGACUGGAGAGCAGGAG
rnacentral:rRNA from 1 species